AUGUUUUACAAACAGCCCUUGUUUCUAUGGGAUUUUAACCACAACUGUUCAUGUUUAUCUCCGACACAUAUUUUUAGGUCACCUGUCAUGAAGUGACACGGUGAGCUUAUGUGAUCGUGUGAUGUCCGUUGUGCGUGCCUGCGUGUGUCCGUGCGUCCGUCCGUCAACUAUUUGUUUGUGUAGACAGUAGAGGUCACAGUUUGCAUCCAAUCUUGAUGAAAUUUGGUCAAAAUGUUUAUCUUGAUGAAAUCCGGUUUGGGAUUGUAUUUGAGUCAUCUGGGGUCAAAAACAAGGUCACUAGGUCAAAUAAUAGAACAACCUUCUGUAGACAAUAGAGGUCACAGUUUUCAUCCAAUCUUUAUGAAAUUUGGUCAGAAUGUUUAUCUUGAUGAAAUCUGGGUUGGGAUUUUAUUUGGGUCAUCUGGGGUCAAAAACUAGGUCACUAGGUCAAAUAAUAGAAAAACCUUGUGUAGACAUUAGAGAUCACAGUUUUCAUCCAACCUUUAUGAAAUUUGGUCAGAAUUCUUGAUGAAAUCUGGGUGGGAUUGUAUUUGGGUCAUCUGGGGUAAAAAUCUAGGUCAAAUAAAUAGAAAAACCUUGUGUUGACAAUAAAGGUCACAGUUUUCAUCCAAUAUUUAUGAACUGUGGUCAGAAUGUUUAUCUUGAUGAAAUCUGGAUUGGGAUUGUAUUUGGGUCAUCUAGAGUCAGGAACUAGGUCACUAGGUCAAAUCAUAGAAAAACAUUGUGUAGACAAUAGAGGUCAUAGUUUUCAUCUGAUCUUAAUGAGUCAGGUGAGCGAUUCAGGGCCAUGAUGGCCCUCUUGUUUAUUAGCUCACCUGAGCGAUAGCUCGGGGUGAGCUAUUGUGAUCACUCAGCGUCCGGCGUCCGUCCGUCUGUCUGUAAACAAUUUGUAAACAUCUUCUUCUACUAAACCAUUGAGCCAAUUUCAACUAAAUUUCAUGUGGAGCAUCCCUAGGUCAUGGGACAAAAGAAUUGAAAAAAAAAAUUUGAUCACAUAACCAAGAUGGCCGCCUUGACCAUAUAUGGUAAAAACCUUAAAAAAUCUUCUUGUCAGAAACCGCUCAUCAGAUUUUCAAAAAAUUUCACAGGGAUGACCUUUGAAGGCUCCCCUGAAAAAGUUGUUCAAAGAAAUUUGAUUCGUCAAAAAACAUGGCCGCAGGAGCUCGUUGAACUUUGCAUGUUUAUUCGUUUUUGCCUAUUUUGUGAAAACUUUCAAAAAUCUUCCACAUUUUUUGUCCGAUCCUUUCCAAAUUUGCACAGUGUCUUUAUAUCAAUGAGGACACGAAAAAUGAGCAUUAUUGGUCCAUGAAGUACAGAAUUACCUCCCCUUGAAUUGAGAAAAUGGUGUUUAUGCAAUAAAGUCCAAAUUUUUCAUCCAAUUCUUUCCAAACUUGUUUAUAUAUCAGAUUAAAGAGAAUAAAAUUUUCUUUAUUA